rnacentral:rRNA from 1 species
UACGGAAGGCAGCAGUGGGGAAUAUUGCACAAUGGGCGCAAGCCUGAUGCAGCCAUGCCGCGUGUAUGAAGAAGGCCUUCGGGUUGUAAAGUACCUUCAGUCGUGAGGAAGGUGUUAAGGUUAAUAACCUUAGCAAUUGACGUUAGCGGCAGAAGAAGCACCGGCUAACUCCGUGCCAGCAGCCGCGGUAAUACGGAGGGUGCGAGCGUUAAUCGGAAUUACUGGGCGUAAAGGGCACGCAGGCGGUUAAUUAAGUUGGAUGUGAAAUCCCCGGGCUUAACCUGGGAAUGGCAUUCAAGACUGGUUAGCUAGAGUCUUGUAGAGGGGGGUAGAAUUCCAUGUGUAGCGGUGAAAUGCGUAGAGAUGUGGAGGAAUACCGGUGGCGAAGGCGGCCCCUGGGACAAAGGACUGACGCUCAUGUGCGAAAGCGUGGGGAGCAAACAGGGAUUAGAUACC